CAGCCCAAGUAGUUAGUAAAUCUCCGGGCUUAACUCGGAAAGGUCAACUGAUACUGCGCGGCUAGAGUGCGGAAGGGGCAACUGGAAUUCUCGGUGUAGCGGUGAAAUGCGUAGAUAUCGAGAGGAACACCUGCGGCGAAGGCGGGUUGCUGGGCCGACACUGACGCUGAUGCGCGAAAGCUAGGGGAGCGAACGGGAUUAGAUACCCCGGUAGUCCUAGCCUUAAACGAUGAAUGCUUGGUGUCUGGGGUUUUAUAGUCCCCGGGUGCCGUCGCUAACGCUUUAAGCAUUCCGCCUGGGGAGUACGGUCGCAAGACUGAAACUCAAAGGAAUUGACGGGGACCCGCACAAGCGGUGGAGCAUGUGGUUUAAUUCGACGCAACGCGAAGAACCUUACCUGGGCUAGAAUGCCUCUGACAGCCCCAGAGAUGGGGUCUCCUGGGUAAAACCAGGCAGAGUGCAAGGUGCUGCAUGGCUGUCGUACAGCUCGUGUCGUGAGAUGUAGAGUNAAGUCCCGCAACGAGCGCAACCCUUAUCAAUAGUAGCCAGCGGUUCGGCCGGGCACUCUAUUGAGACU
rnacentral:rRNA from 1 species